rnacentral:snoRNA from 1 species
GGUGCAUUUGAUGACACUUGUUAGCGACCAAAGUCUGACAGAAAUGAUUGCUACCCAUUGUCUGAUGCACC